rnacentral:rRNA from 1 species
ACGCUGGGGAAUAAGGAGAGGGCAAGUCUGGUGUCAGCCGCCGCGGUAAUACCAGCUCUCCGAGUGGUGUGGAUGUUUAUUGGGCCUAAAGCAUCCGUAGCUGGCUAAGUUAGUCCCUUGUUAAAUCCACCGAAUUAAUCGUUGGAUCGCGGGGGAUACUGCUUGGCUAGGGGACGAGAGAGGCAGACGGUAUUUUCGGGGUAGGGGUGAAAUCCUAUAAUCCCGGGAAGACCACCAGUGGCGAAGGCUGUUUGCUAGAACGCGCCCGACGGUGAGGGAUGAAAGCUGGGGGAGCGAACCGGAUUAGAUACCCGGGUAGUCCCAGCUGUAAACGAUGCAGGCUAGGUGUUUGGACGGCCACGUGCCGUUCUAGUGCCGCAGGGAAGCUGUUAAGCCUGCCGCCUGGGGAGUACGAUCGCAAGAUUGAAACUUAAAGGAAUUGGCGGGGGAGCACCACAAGGGGUGAAGCUUGCGGUUUAAUUGGAUUCAACGCCGGGA